rfam:Clostridium chromiireducens strain DSM 23318 CLCHR_contig000124, whole genome shotgun sequence.
UAUGUUCUGAAAUAUGCGUUAAGCUCUUAUUUUGAACCUACAUAUUUAUUUCGGGAGUUCAAUAUUUAGAUGAAGAUAUGUACUUUCUUGUGAGUCCUUUUACGGCAUUGAAGGCGAUUGAAGCAUCUGUGAGGACACCCACCUAUCUGAGGAUAGGUGUCAAAAUCAGGGUACCGGUAUUUUGGAUAUAUU